rnacentral:rRNA from 1 species
AUGAUGUUGUCUAUGGAGACUUUGCUCACUGGGCCUCCACUAAUGAAGGUGCGACAGACCAGCCAGACGGUUGGGACUGGCACCAGGCGUAGGGGGCUCUGGUACAUGGACCAGGAGGUGCAGCCGGACUUGGUGUGUGCUGCAACCAUGGAGGAUAAGGAGAAGCAGGCGAUGAUCCAUCACUAUAGGAUGGGGCGUGUAUCUUUUGAUAAGAUGAGUAGAAUAUUUCCGGAUGUUAUGUGUGGAAUAGGCAAAGGCAAGCUGACAUGUGAUGCUUGUGAAUAUGCAAAACACACACGGGCCUCAUAUGUGAGUAAGGGGCUCAGGAGCAUAUCUCCUUUUAUGCUUAUUCAUUCGGAUGUAUGGACUAGCCCAAUGGUGUCAAAUGGGAAGAAGUAUUUUGCUACCUUUAUUGACUGUUAUUCUCGCAUGACUUGGAUUUACUUGAUGCGUCACAAGGAUGAGGUGUUUAGCUGUUUUCAGCACUUCCAUGCUCUUGUAAAGAACCAGUUUCAAGUACAGGUCAAGGUGCUCAGGACGGACAAUGGAACGGAGUAUGUGAACAACAUUUUUGGGGCUUUCAUGGCUGACCAUGGGAUUCUUCAUCAAACUUCAUGUCCGGACACCCCCCCUCAGAAUGGAGUGGCCGAACGAAAGAAUCGUCAUGUUCUUGAGGUUGCUCGGUCGUUGAUGUUUACCAUGAAUGUGCCUAAGUUCUUGUGGGAUGAUGCAGUUAUGACAGCCACAUACUUGAUCAACCGGACACCUUCCAGGAUACUUGGCAUGAAAUCUCCGUCUGAGUUGCUCGUUGGAGAUAAUAAGUUUGUUGUUCCGCCAAAGUUGUUUGGCAGUACCUGCUUUGUUCGUGAUCACCGACCAUCUGUUGGCAAGCUUGAUCCUCGGGCAAUGAAGUGUGUCUUUUUGGGAUACUCGUCUAGUCAGCAGGGGUAUAAAUGUUGGUGUCCCUCUGAAAAACGCAGGUUUGUAAGUAUGGACGUUACGUUCAGGGAGUCUGAGCCAUUCUAUGGUGAGCCGUCUGAUCUCAGUCUGCUGUUUGCAGAGCUUGACCACCUACACCCUGUGCAUGAUGGUCAAGAGGGGGAGAAGGAUGUGUCUCAUACUCACGGGGAUUCUGUGGACAUUAACGCUGAUAAUGAUGUGCAGGCUCAAGUUCAACCAAUAGUGGGUACAUUCCGGUUAGUACCAUCACUGAUGAUGAUGUGCAGGCUCAUGUCGAGCCAACUGUCGAUACACUUAAGAUUGGUGCUCUCCAGGUUCCUGUUCGGGAUCGAUGGCAGACGAAUACCCUGGUGUACUCUCGACGGCAACCACAAGUGCAGGGGAGCAGCAAGGCAGGGAGGCAAGAGUGCAGGGGGAGCAGCAAGGCAGUGA